CUCCUUUUAGUGCCUCGUGUCUCGGCCACUGAUUCACACUGAUGGGAUUGAGGACCUGAGGAG
ensembl:snoRNA small nucleolar RNA, C/D box 66